rnacentral:rRNA from 1 species
AUUGAACGCUGGCGGCGUGCCUAACACAUGCAAGUCGAGCGGUAACAGGUGUAGCAAUACAUGCUGACGAGCGGCGAACGGGUGAGUAAUGCUUCGGAAUCUACCCAAUGGUGGGGAAUAACCAGCCGAAAGGUUGGCUAAUACCGCAUACGUCCCACGGGAGAAAGCAGGGGAUCGCAAGACCUUGCGCCAAUGGAUGAGCCGAAGUCGGAUUAGCUAGUUGGAGGGUAACGGCCUACCAAGGCGACGAUCCGUAGCUGGUCUGAGAGGACGACCAGCCACACUGGGACUGAGACACGGCCCAGACUCCUACGGGAGGCAGCAGUGGGGAAUAUUGGACAAUGGGGGAAACCCUGAUCCAGCGACGCCGCGUGUGUGAAGAAGGCCUGCGGGUUGUAAAGCACUUUUAGUGGGGNUGAAAUGUUCAGGGUUUAACACCUCUGGAUUUUG